GUGGCUCAGUGGUUAGAGCACUGGCUGCCCUUCCAGAUGACCUGGGUUCAGUUCCCAGC
rnacentral:tRNA from 1 species